rnacentral:lncRNA from 10 species
GCUUCAGGUGUUCUGCCAGGAACAGAGACCAAAUAUUCAUUCCUUUUUAUGUCAACGACGCCCAUAGGAAAUUACGGCUUGUCCGGAAAGCACUUGGUCCUGAUGCGUUCUGGCAGCUACGGAAGACAGGAAGAGAGCGAGCAGCUGGGGAAGGAGAGGAGGGACCUGGAACUGUGCGUCUUGAUUACGGCACCGCAGGAAUGCCCUGUCUCUGCUGGGAUGCUGAGCUCUGCGGGAGAAAAUGACACAACCCACAGAUUUGCACCAGAGGGAGAAGAAACCUAGGAUGACGAGGGGUCACAGAGGCCGAAUCUCUGUGAAGAGUAUUUCAAGAAGCUGACGCUUUUCCUGACUAUGGAGAGAUCGGUUCAAGUGACAGCAGGAUUCCUGGCGGUGGCAACACGGAGUCACUGCUGAUGAAAAGGGGCCUUCAGUGGCCUGGGGAGGACAGUGCCACGUGGAGCAAAAGCUAAGGGACACACAGGAGAGGUCCUGGAGAAGGUGAGCACGUACACAGCCCACCAAGAUGCCUAGCAGCAAAGGUGUACAUGUACACAGCCCCCCAAGAU